rnacentral:misc_RNA from 1 species
UACAGAGGUCCCGAGCGCUGUCCGGAUUUACUGGGCGUAAAGCGCGCGCAGGCGGCCUCUUAAGUCUGAUGUGAAAGCCCCCGGCUCAACCGGGGAGGGCCAUUGGAAACUGGGAGGCUUGAGUAUAGGAGAGAAGAGUGGAAUUCCACGUGUAGCGGUGAAAUGCGUAGAGAUGUGGAGGAACACCAGUGGCGAAGGCGACUCUUUGGCCUAUAACUGACGCUGAGGCGCGAAAGCGUGGGGAGCAAACAGG